rnacentral:rRNA from 1 species
GACGAACGCUGGCGGCGUGCUUAACACAUGCAAGUCGAACGGAAAGGCCCUGCUUUUGUGGGGUGCUCGAGUGGCGAACGGGUGUGUAACACGUGAGUAACCUGCCCUUGACUUUGGGAUAACUUCAGGAAACUGGGGCUAAUACCGGAUAGGCGCUCCUGCUGCAUGGUGGGGGUUGGAAAGUUUCGGCGGUUGGGGAUGGACUCGCGGCUUAUCAGCUUGUUGGUGGGGUAGUGGCUUACCAAGGCUUUGACGGGUAGCCGGCCUGAGAGGGUGACCGGCAACAGUGGGACUGAGAUACGGCCCAGACUCCUACGGGAGGCAGCAGUGGGGAAUAUUGCACAAUGGGCGGAAGCCUGAUGCAGCAACGCCGCGUGCGGGAUGACGGCCGUCGGGUUGUAAACCGCUUUCGCCUGUGACGAAGCGUGAGUGACGGUAAUGGGUAAAGAAGCACCGGCUAACUACGUG